rnacentral:tRNA from 1 species
GCCUUAUAGUUAUAGCUCAGUGGUUAGAGCGUCUGUCCGGUUUUCAGAAGGUUACGUGGUUCAAUUCACGUUAGGGCU